ACAAUUUAAAUCCUUUAACGAGGAUCAACUGGAGGGCAAGUCUGGUGCCAGCAGCCGCGGUAACUCCAGCUCCAGAAGCGUAUAUUAAAGUUGUUGCAGUUAAAAAGCUCGUAGUUGGAUCUGGGUCGCAUGGCCGCAUGCCGUCGCUUGUGAACCUGUCCCAGUGACUGCUGGAACGGGCUUGCGAGUCGGUCUAGUGGUUGUGCUUCCUUUCUGCUGUGUCUGUUUACAGGUGUCAGCGUGAUUGGUGGGUUUACCCGCCGGUCCGCUGGCAUGCUUCUUGAUGCCUUUAAACGGGUGUCGGAGGCGGACAGCACGUUUACUUUGAACAAAUUUGAGUGCUCAAAGCAGGCCUUUGUGCCUGAAAAUUCUUGCAUGGAAUAAUGGAAUAGGACUUCGGUUCUAUUUUGUUGGUUUUCGGAUCCGAAGUAAUGGUUAAGAGGGACAGACGGGGGCAUUUGUAUGGCGGUGUUAGAGGUGAAAUUCUUGGAUCGCCGCCAGACAAACUACCG
rnacentral:rRNA from 1 species